rnacentral:pre_miRNA from 1 species
CCCUCCUGAAGCCGUUGACUUUUUAGCACAUGUUUAACCGUUCGUCUUAUUUAAAAAAUUUAAGUAAUUAUUAAUUCUUUUCCUAUCAUUUGAUUCAUUGUUAAAUAUAUUUUUAUGUAGGCAUAUAAUUACAUAUUUCAAAAAGGUUUUUAAUAAGACGAACGGUCAAAUAUGUGCUAAAAAGUCAACGGUGUCAAACAUU